CAACUUUCAGCAACGGAUCUCUAGGCUCUCGCAUCGAUGAAGAACGCAGCGAAAUGCGAUACGUAAUGUGAAUUGCAGAAUUCAGUGAAUCAUCGAAUCUUUGAACGCAUCUUGCGCUCCGGGGUAUUCCUCGGAGCAUGCCUGUUUGAGUGUCGUGG
rnacentral:rRNA from 1 species